CGGGCUAGCCCCACUGUGGGCUCAGGGGCUGUGUGCACCAUGGCCUGGACCCCUCUCCUCCUCGUGCUCCUCUCUCACUGCACAGGUUCCUUCUCCCAACCUGUGGUGACUCAGCCGCCCUCCAUCUCUGCAUCUCCGGGAGCCACAGCCAGACUCACCUGCACCCUGAGCAGUGACAUCAGUGUUGGAAACUGU